rnacentral:rRNA from 1 species
UACGGAGGGGGCGAGCGUUAUUCGGAAUUAUUGGGUGUAAAGUGUGCGUAGGCGGCUUAGUAAGUUAAUGGUGAAAUCCCGGGGCUCAACCCCGGGGCUGCUUUUAGAACUGCUAAGCUGGAGUUGGAAAGAGGAUAGCAGAAUUCCUAGUGUAGAGGUGAAAUUCGUAGAUAUUAGGAGGAAUACCGGAGGCGAAGGCGGCUGUCUGGUUCCAUACUGACGCUGAGGCACGAAAGCGUGGGGAGCAAACAGG